rnacentral:pre_miRNA from 1 species
UGAGAACCCAAUGCAGCUGCUGGCCACUGCACAAGAUUAGAACAUGAGACUCUUGUGCGUGUGACAGCGGCUAUGGUGGGAUUAUCGCAUUCUUCA